rnacentral:pre_miRNA from 1 species
GACAGUCAGCAGUUGGUCUGGCGUGAGCACUGGUUCUCAGAUCACCUCUUGGCUGUGGG